rnacentral:lncRNA from 1 species
CCGUGUGUGCCGAAAUCUACUAGUUGAUCAUAUCCUAAAACCUGCCUUCCUAAGCGCUGAUGAUGCUUGGAAGUAUUUUUGCUCUGUGGUUGGAAAAGCUGCUACAUCAGACCCUGGCGAACCCUUUGCAAAGCAAGUUUGUAACAAACUUAAAGGUUACCCUUUCGCCAUCUCGGUCGUGGGGAAAAUACAACGAAGUCGGAGUUCGCAUUUCGGCUGGAUGAUUAUAGCUUUGGAAGAACUCGAAUACCCACACCGCGCGAGUACCAUUACUAGUGAAAUCAUAUAUGCUUCUCUAAAGAUGACGUAUGAUUGCUUGCAAGACAAGAAGAUGAAACCAUGCUUUUUGUUAUGUGCUUCGUAUCCAGCGAGUUGCGUAAUCAAAGUAAAAGAGGUUGUGCGCCUUAUGGUGGCUAAUGGGAUUAUACAAGACUCUGAGGGUUGCCAUAUGGAGGGGCUUAUGUUGGUUGAAGGCUUGAAAGACGUUUGUCUUCUAGAAGACUGUCUUAACGAUGAGACAGUUACAAUGCACGAAGUGAUUCACGAUUUCGCCCGAUGGCUUAUGUCCACAGACGAAGGAAACAUGUAUGGGUGUAGUAUUAAUCUACAAAACAUUGAGCAAGAGGUGCAACUAGAUCAGUCCUCUCCCAUGGAAAACCUCUGAUGAUUGCUUCUCUGUUUUAAAAUUAGUUCAUUGUCUUCAUAACCUUUUCCUUUGGUUUUGUUUACAUUAUUGUAUCACGUUUGCUUUAAUUUCUUUCCAGGUUGAACUAGGUUUCUUCACAUUAAAAAAAAAAAGAAAAAAAAAACUAGGUUGACCUUUAGGACUAACAGAAUCUAUACAUAAUAUAUUUUGAUUUGCCUAUAUAUAUACUAUUAAAAAGGGAAACAUUUUGUAUAAAGUAAACAUAUAAUAAUUUAUUUAUAUUAUUAAAAGGGAAGCAUUUUGUAUAAACUAUGUUGAACUAGGUUUCUUCACACUAAAAAAAAAGAAAAAAAAAUAAAAAAACUAGGUUGACCCUUACGACUAACAGAAAAAUUAUACAUAGGAUAUUUUGGUUUGUCUAUUUUAUUGUAAAUGGAUAUAAUAAAAUAAAAUAUUAUCCGAUGAAGCAAAAAUGAUUUGAAAAUAAAAAGAAACAUAAAAUACAAUGCAAAAUUAUUUUUAAAAGAAAAAC